rnacentral:rRNA from 1 species
AAUAGAUACCCGGGUAGUCCACGCCGUAAACGAUGAGUGCUAAGUGUUGGGGGGUUUCCGCCCCUCAGUGCUGCAGCUAACGCAUUAAGCACUCCGCCUGGGGAGUACGGUCGCAAGACUGAAACUCAAAGGAAUUGACGGGGGCCCGCACAAGCGGUGGAGCAUGUGGUUUAAUUCGAAGCAACGCGAAGAACCUUACCAGGUCUUGACAUCCCGGUGACCACUAUGGAGACAUAGUUUCCCCUUCGGGGGCAACGGUGACAGGUGGUGCAUGGUUGUCGUCAGCUCGUGUCGUGAGAUGUUGGGUUAAGUCCCGCAACGAGCGCAACCCUUAUUCUUAGUUGCCAUCAUUCAGUUGGGCACUCUAAGGAGACUGCCGGUGAUAAACCGGAGGAAAGUGGGGAUGACGUCAAAUCAUCAUGCCCCUUAUGACCUGGGCUACACACGUGCUACAAUGGACGGUACAAACGGUUGCCAACCCGCGAGGGGGAGCUAAUCCGAUAAAACCGUUCUCAGUUCGGAUUGUAGGCUGCAACUCGCCUACA